rnacentral:rRNA from 1 species
AGCGAACGCUGGCGGCAGGCCUAACACAUGCAAGUCGAACGGACCUUUCGGGGUUAGUGGCGGACGGGUGAGUAACACGUGGGAACGUGCCUUUAGGUUCGGAAUAGCUCCUGGAAACGGGUGGUAAUGCCGAAUGUGCCCUUCGGGGGAAAGAUUUAUCGCCUUUAGAGCGGCCCGCGUCUGAUUAGCUAGUUGGUGAGGUAAUGGCUCACCAAGGCGACGAUCAGUAGCUGGUCUGAGAGGAUGGCCAGCCACAUUGGGACUGAGACACGGCCCAAACUCCUACGGGAGGCAGCAGUGGGGAAUCUUGCGCAAUGGGCGAAAGCCUGACGCAGCCAUGCCGCGUGGAUGAUGAAGGUCUUAGGAUUGUAAAAUCCUUUCACCGGUGAAGAUAAUGACUGUAGCCGGAGAAGAAGCCCCGGCUAACUUCGUGCCAGCAGCCGCCGCCGUAA